rnacentral:rRNA from 1 species
UACAGAGGUCUCAAGCGUUGUUCGGAUUUACUGGGCGUAAAGGGCGCGUAGGCGGCCACCGCAAGUCGACUGUGAAAUCUCCGGGCUUAACUCGGAAAGGUCAGCCGAUACUGCGGGGCUAGAGUGCAGAAGGGGCAACUGGAAUUCUCGGUGUAGCGGUGAAAUGCGUAGAUAUCGAGAGGAACACCUGCGGCGAAGGCGGGUUGCUGGGCUGACACUGACGCUGAUUGUGCGAAAGCUAGGGGAGCGAACGGG